UUUUUUUUGGUUGAUACCUGUGCAGGUAUUGAACCUGUGCCACAGCAAUGGCCCAAGCCAUAGCAGUGACAAUGCCAGAUCCUUAACCCACUGCACAAGAAAACUCCUUUUCUUCCUUUUUAAAGUGAUAAAAAUCAAUAAUGGAAAGUCAUGCCCGCUUUCUCUUUUUCCUUAGAUGUUUUUCCUACCUAAAACUCUGCACCUAUUUUAAUUAUGAUAAUAUUCUUCUGUUUUCCCAAGGAAAGGCAUUCCAUGUGGUCUUGGCACCAGGAAUUCACUUUUUGCUCACUGUCCUUUCAAGUGGCUGAUACAGAAUCAACAGCAGCAUUUCUGAAUUUGAUAUAAUCUAUAUAAUCUAUACCCUGUGGUGAUCUCUAUUGACAGAAGAGCUGACCAGCUUGAACAAACUCUAGUGUAUUGAAGCAUUUGCACAACACAACAUAUGUACCCACAGCCUACUGUCUAAAAUGCAAGGAAUCACCAGGUACCAUCACUAUUCUUUCACCAUCUUGGAAAGAUGAUAAAUGACUCCUUUCCUUGCUUUAAAUUGAGAAUAUGACUAGCUCUUCAAACUACUGAUAAUAGGGAGCUCUUAUGCUUAAGAGUAAAUUGAGACAAGUACUAGAUUAGUAACAGGUAUAAGUGCAAAGUGGUUGUUGGGUAUUAGUUUCUUAGGGUUGCCACAGCAAAAUACCACAGACUAGGUGUCUUAAACAACAGAAAUUCAUUCUUGCAGUUUUGAAGAUAGGAAGUAUAAGAUCAAGGUGUCUGCAGAUUAGAUUUCUCCACAGACCUCUCUCCUUGACAUAUAGACAGAUGGCCAGCAGAUAGAUAUCAGCCUUCUCAGUGCAUCCUCACAUGCCUUAAACCCUGAAACAGGGGCCCUGAUGUCUCUUCCUCUUUCUUCCUUUCUUUCUUCCUUCCAUCUUAUUUUUUUUAGGGCCGCAACCAAGGCAUAUGGAAGUUCCCAGGCUAGGGGUAGAAUCAGGCUGCAGCUGGUCAGCCUACAUACACCACAACCACAUCAAUACCACAUCCAAGCCACAUCUGUCACCUACACCACGGCUCAGGGAAACACCAGAUCCUUAACCCCCUGAGCAAGGCCAGGGAACAAACCAGUGGCCUCAUGGAUACUAGUAGGCCUUGUUACCACUGAGCCACCACAGUAACUCUUUUUUUUUCUUUUUAAGGCGACAUCUGUUGCAUAUGGAAUUUUCCAGGCUAGGGGUUGAAUCAGAUCUGCAGCUGCUGGCCUACAUCACAACCACAGCAAUGAGGGAUCCAAACCACAUCUGUGACCUCCAGCAUAGCUCACAGCAACACCAGAUCCUUAACCCACUGAGCAAGGCCAGGGAUCAAACCUGCAUUCUCAUGGAUACUAGAUGGGUUCUUAACCCACUGAACCACAAUGGGAACUCCAGAAUUUGCUUCUUUUUAAAGGUUGAAUAGUAUUCUGUUGAACAUAUAUAUAUCACAUUUUCUUUAUUCUAAAAUUCAUUUGUUAAUAGACACUUAGGUUGUUUCUGUAUCUUGACUGCUGUGAGUAAUCCCACAGGGAACAUGGGCAUGCAGAGAUCUCACAGAGGUAUUUCAGUAAUUUAACUUCAAAAGGAGAAAAGAAUGAUAUGCAAGCAUUUAAAAAUAACAAACAAUUAAAAAUCCAAUAUCUCAGGUCAUAUUCAUUUCAGUGGACAGUAGAGACAACACAGAAGCAGCCCCUCCUUCAACUGCCCUUUGCUAUGCUGACACUCCUGAGAGCAAUACCAGAGGAGGGGAGACAGGUGAUGGAGGGUUAGGGUACCAGUUUCACCCACUUCCCACAGACACAGGUAUUCAAAAGAGAAAUUAAGUCAUAAAAAUGCAAAAUUCUGAUUAUUAGCACAAAUCUAUGUUUGAGAAAUGAUGAUCAUACCUUCUUAAAAACUUGAAUGAAUAAUUACAAAAUGUAGUGCAAAUAAUGAGCUGGCUAACUUUUUGAGGAUCAGUGACAAGUUCAUGGAACAUCAAAAGUACUGUGGGGGAGUUCCCAUUAUGGCUCAGUUGUAAAGAACCUGACUAGUAUCCAUGAGGAUGUGGGUUCAAUCCUUGGCCUUGCUCAGUGGGUUAAGGAUCUGGCAUUACUUCAAGCUGUGGUGUAGGUCACAGAUUCAGCCUGCAUCCCACAUUGCUGUGGUUGUGACAUAGGCUGGCAGCUGUGGCUCUGAUUCAGCCUCUAGCCUGGAAACUUCCAUAUGUUACAGUGCACCUCUAAAAAGCAAAAAAAAAAAAAAAAAAAAAAA
rnacentral:lncRNA from 1 species